UACGAAGGGGGCUAGCGUUGCUCGGAAUUACUGGGCGUAAAGGGCGCGUAGGCGGAUACUUAAGUUGGGGGUGAAAGCCCGGGGCUCAACCUCGGAAUUGCCUUCAAUACUGGGUAUCUUGAGUUCGGGAGAGGUGAGUGGAAUUCCGAGUGUAGAGGUGAAAUUCGUAGAUAUUCGGAAGAACACCAGUGGCGAAGGCGACUUACUGGACACAUAUUGACGCUGAGGUGCGAAAGCGUGGGGAGCAAACAGG
rnacentral:rRNA from 1 species